UACCUACAUUGUGUUACCUAUAUGAAUAAAUGAUUUCUGGCUUGACUUGACUUGUUAUAAUGAUAAUAGUCUUUUGAAUGCUUAUGUUUUUAUACAGUUUACAUUACAGUAAUGCUCACUAGAUGUCGGAUGUAAGCCUUCAACGUUUUCCCACUUUACCUAGCCACACAUUUAUUGCGUUAUGUGAACGUGUUUUAUUUUAAUUUUUAUUAUAAAUAAAGGGCUUAAUUUAUAAUUAUACAUUUUGAUAUCACCUUGCAUUGUUAAUUAUUACUGCAACAAAACAGGCAAUUACUCCGAUAAGGUCUUAUCAAAGCAUUGUUUAUACCUAUUAUGACUUUUUUAUUUUUUGUGGGCGAACUGUUAUAAAUUGGCUUUGAUUCGAAAAAAUUCUAUUGGCCUACCGAUACCAGCCCAACUACAAUGAAAAGUUUUCUAUUAUUCACAGUUUUUGCUUCAAUAACUCUACAGCUAUGCGUUUGUUCCCAUAAAAAAUUAAAGACAACAACCGAGGCGGCAGAAAGUACAACACAAGAAGCAACUGUCACUAACCCUAUGACAGAUGCGGCGCCAAAUGUCGAGGUUAAAUCUGAAGCUGUACCCGCAAGCCCACAGGUCAUCGAUAUAGUGACGUAAACAUAGUAAUUUCGAAUAUGAUGUAACAAUGUAAAUUGACUUGAAUAAAAAAGACCAUACGAUGCUUA